rnacentral:hammerhead_ribozyme from 1 species
ACUGCUGACGAGUCUCAAAAAGGACGAAAUGCGCGUCCUGGAU